AGGACGCGCGCCUCCCAGGUGCCAGAGUUCGUAUAUGACUCCAGUCCUGGCGCUGGAUGCUGCUGCUGUUCCAGCUUCCUAGGUGUGGAAACUGAAGGACCAAGAGAUUAAACAGUGGUGCAAAAGUGGUAAGAAUUCAGCAUUCUCCUCGACAAGUGGACGAGCAUCUACUGUGCUUUCACAGCGGCUAUCACUAUUGCCAGCAGCAAGACUGUCAGCUCGGCGCCCUCGUCUGGUUGGAUGGGAAACUGCAGUUGCUAAGGGAGCUGGGUUUGAAUCUCUGAGGACAAAUGGGAAUUCUCACUGAUUUCUAGGACUACCCUGGGGCAGAGAUGGAGUUUCAUCACAUUGCCUAGGCUGGUCUCGAAAUCCUGGACUCAAGUGAUCUGCUGGCCUCAGCCUCCCUAACUGCUGGGACUAGAGGCCUGAGCGACCACCCCUGGCUGUAAACAUUUUCUUAGCUCAAGGAUUGCUGAAUUUGUAUCCAUUUUCUUCUCUCCUAUCUCAAUUGGGCACCCUGCACAGCAAUACACACUGAACAAUGUCGAGUUUCUGCUGAAUAGACUUCCUACGUUGCUCUGGAAUUCGAAGUUGGCCUAACUGAGGUCUCCAGUUACAGAAAACACUGGCUCUGUAUCCUGGGCUUUGAGAAAACUUAUCAGGCUGUCACACUUACCAUCCCUUCAGUCUGCUUGUCAGGUUCCUUAAGGACGCAUAUCUCAAAUGUAUGGCAUCUACCUCUACCUGGGUCACAACCAAGUGGGUUUCUACUAGAUCGGUGUUCCUUGACAGCCAACAAGGGAGCUGACACUGCCCUCCUAAGUUCUGAUCUUGCUCCUGUUCAACUGGAACUUGAUGGAUCCCAUGUGGUUUCCCCCAUCCUGACGCUGUGGCUCAGACACUCUCCCUAAGCUGGUCCUUCCCUCCAAAUCCUGCCUUAAACACACUCAGAAGGUAGAAAACACUUCAGCAGCAAAGUCCUCUUCCCAAGCCAACAGUUGUGUUCUUCCAAUCACAUGAUCUUACCUUUUCAAUAAAAGGCAAAACAAACCAAUUUCCAACAUAGCAUUACAGCCUUUAAAACCAUUCACUUCUCAUAGUGAUUCACAGAGAACAAGAGAUUAAAGUGCUGGAUUUUAAAUGUCUAAAGUUGCCUUCAGGGCUACAAAAAGCCCUGCCGUGUGUGUUUUUCCUUCAUGGUGUUGAGGGGAAGGAAAGAUAGGGAAGGGCAGUGGGGAGAAACCCUAAAAUUUUCAAUCAGAAACUGGAAAUUGUAAAAGUG
rnacentral:lncRNA from 10 species